UACAUAGGUGGCAAGCGUUGUCCGGAAUGACUGGGCGUAAAGAGAGCGUAGGCGGUGAUAAAAGUUAUAUGUGAAAGCCCUUGGCUUAACCAAGGAACUGCAUAUAAUACUGUAUUACUUAGAGUAUGGGAGAGGAAGAUGGAAUUUCUAGUGUAGCGGUUAAAUGCUUAGAUAUUAGAAGGAACACCGGAGGCGAAGGCGGUCUUCUGGCCCAAUACUGACGCUGAGGCUCGAAAGCGUGGGGAGCAAACAGGAUUAGAUACCCUGGUAGUCCACGCCCUAAACGAUGAAUACUAGACGUAGGAGGUAUCGACUCCUUCUGUGUCGCAGCUAACGCAAUAAGUAUUCCGCCUGGGUAGUACGGCCGCAAGGUUGAA
rnacentral:rRNA from 1 species